rnacentral:rRNA from 1 species
UAACUGCCAAGAGAUCGGGAUAACACCUGGAAACAGAUGCUAAUACCGGAUAACAACAGAUGAUGCCUAUCAACUGUUUAAAAGAUGGUUCUGCUAUCACUCUUGGAUGGACCUGCGGUGCAUUAGCUAGUUGGUAGGGUAACGGCCUACCAAGGGCGAUGAUGCAUAGCCGAGUUGAGAGACUGAUCGGCCACAUUGGGACUGAGACACGGCCCAAACUCCUACGGGAGGCAGCAGCC